GGUCAAGCAAGAAAGAGCGCAGGGUGGAUGCCUUGGCACCAGGAGCCGAAGAAGGACGUGACAAGCUGCGAUAAGCAGCGGGGAGGAGCAAAUAUCCUACGAUCCGCUGAUUUCCGAAUGGGGAAACCCGGCUGGAAGAACUCCAGUCAUCAUACAGUGAAUACAUAGCUGUAUGAAGGGAACCGCCUGAACUGAAACAUCUAAGUAGGGCGAGGAAGAGAAAGAAACAUCGAUUUCCUGAGUAGCGGCGAGCGAAAGGGAAAGAGCCUAAACCGCGAUGCGUGCAUUGCGGGGUAAUGGACUGUUAAAAGCAACUGAAAGUCAGAAGAACAUGCAGGAAAGCAUGGCCAGAGAGGGUGAAAGCCCCGUAUUCGAAGGCGGAAGGAAGUGAACAGUAUCCGGAGUACUGCGGGACACGAGAAACCCUGCAGGAAGUCGGGGGGACCACCCCCCAAGGCUAAAUACUACCUGGUGACCGAUAGAGCAUAGUACUGUGAAGGAAAGGUGAAAAG
rnacentral:ncRNA from 1 species